UGGGGAAUAUUGCACAAUGGGCGCAAGCCUGAUGCAGCCAUGCCGCGUGUGUGAAGAAGGCCUUCGGGUUGUAAAGCACUUUCAGCGGGGAGGAAGGGAGUAAAGUUAAUACCUUUGCUCAUUGACGUUACCCGCAGAAGACGCACCGGCUAACUCCGUGCCAGCAGCCGCGGUAAUACGGAGGGUGCAAGCGUUAAUCGGAAUUACUGGGCGUAAAGCGCACGCAGGCGGUUUGUUAAGUCAGAUGUGAAAUCCCCGGGCUCAACCUGGGAACUGCAUUCGAAACUGGCAGGCUAGAGUCUUGUAGAGGGGGGUAGAAUUCCAGGUGUAGCGGUGAAAUGCGUAGAGAUCUGGAGGAAUACCGGUGGCGAAGGCGGCCCCCUGGACAAAGACUGACGCUCAGGUGCGAAAGCGUGGGGAGCAAACAGG
rnacentral:rRNA from 1 species